AGGACCUGGAAGAGCUGCACAAGCACGGUGGGCAAGAACUUUAUGAUGACCUGAGUCUCCACAGCGUGCAGGCACUGCCACAGGACGAGAACAAGGUAAGAACUAUAAAUCAUGAUGUGCUGGUGGGGGCAUGGUCAAGCAUCAGCUAUGGACGGAGAGGAGGCAGGUCGAACUGGAAGGUAACCUGUGAUGAUUCUCACCAGUGUCUCAUUAAUGAUAGUCUACUUAUUUGUGUUUCUUUGUGCUUUCAGUGGCUCCCGUCACACACACACACACACACACACACACGAGAAUGUUUAAUACUUCACUGAGAUUUUUAAUCUUAUUUCUCUCUGUAGAAGAUUACCAAUUAUGUGAUGACUUUAAGAAUGCACGUUUUUCCACGCAGUAUCACGGGAUUUGUCCCGUGCGAUCACGCAGUAUCCUGCAGGCACUAAGUAUUGAAAUUAAUUUGUUGUGCUUCACAUAAUAACCACCAGGUGGCGCAUGGAACAACAUAGUGUACCUGAACACAGCACAAUAAAAAUGGAAUUGUUCACAUAAAAAAUUAAGUUUCGCAUCAAAACUUAUAAUUAACCUAAUUUAAACAAAUUUGUAAGUACACGAUUAUGAAAAAUAUAAAUGUGCUCUGCUGCUUGUUGCAAAAUGGUUCUGAGAGGUUCACAGAUCUGCGGGCCAAGCACAAGCAGAUCAUGGGUUUCAGUACAACAAACAGCACCGUUUGGUUGGUAAACGAAUAUAUGUGUAUAUAGUAUAUGUCCAGGCAGAACUACUGUAUCUACUAGGAAGCAGUGUUCAUUCAAAUGAAACAUGACUGCCCCCUAAUGGGCUUGUACUUCCUGUGCCGGCAGCAUGCACGUGAUUCCGCACGAAAUCGUAGGUUUCCGUUUCCUUCUACGCGCAUUUUUAAUGACUUCAUCUGUAACUGGUUUUCUUCAUAAGGACAUAUUUGCAUAUUUAGGCAAACUGAGUCAAAACUAAAUAGCUAGUUUAUUGAAUGACUCAGAAUAGUCCUCAGAACAGUCAAUAACUCCUCUAUUACUGAAUGUCAUUUGCUGACUAAGAAAUGUGCUUUUCAGUCAUUAUUGUUAUAUUAGAGUGUCAAAAUGCACCCUUUUAGAUUGACCAGGUCACCUAACCCAAAUCCAUCCAUCCAUCCAUCCAUAAAUUUUCCAUGCAGCUUAUCCUACAGAGGGUCACGGGAGCCUCGAGUCUAUCCCAGGGAACUCAGGGCACAAAGCAGGGGACACCCUGGAUGGGCUGCCAACUCAUCACAGAGCACACACAUUCAUACAUGACAGAUCAUUUGGAAAUGCUAAUCAACCUACAACGCAUGUAAUUAGACUGGUGGAGAAAACCGGAGUACCCAGAGGAAACCCCCGAAGCACCGGGAGAACACGCAAACUCUGCUCACAAAGGGCAGAGGCGGGAUUCAAACCCCCAACCCAGGAGGUGCGAGGCAAAAUGAGGCAGAUGUGGACAUUACCUUAAGUGGGCCUGCCCCCUCUUCAUCUGAGUCUUUGAACUGAAUGGACACCGCAAUGUUCCUCGCCUGAAGGACAGACACGUAAAACAAUCACAAAACAACAUUUGCACCAAAAUUUCAUGCAGUUUCAUCAAUUCUUUUUCCCUUAUUUUCAAUAAAUCAACCUCAAGUCACUGCAUCGGAAACUCUGGGUUUAGGAGUCACUAGUCGCUAAAAGUCACACAAUGCGUUUGCAGCUAUUUACCUUCGCAAAGGUCUUUUGACUUUCAUAUUUGAGCUGCUGGGGAUAGAUAUAGAGGUGAUUCUUAUAGAUGGUGAAAGGGUGAUUGUACUUGGCUUCUUCAGAGACAAACUCUUCUAGUUCCACACAGACUUUCUCACACUGCUCUUCGAACGGCUUCACUGGGAUGUAGGAGGGG